rnacentral:lncRNA from 1 species
ACCCAAUGUCCCCAUUGGUGCAGGAGAAGGAGCAGAGCAGCCUCCGGUCGCACGCGGAUGGGCUGCAGGAGGAGACCCAGCACCUGCACAGCGAGGGGCAGGAGCUGCGGGCCCAGCUGCAGGCACUGGUGCCCUCGGUGACGCUGCUUGAGGCCCAGCUCUGCCGCUGCUCCGAGCUCCUGCUCAGCCACGAGGCCACCGCAGCCCAGGUGAGGGCACCCAAUGGGGUCUGA